CAAAUAACUGGAUUUCUGGCGGAGAGUGA
rnacentral:piRNA from 1 species